UGGGGAAUAUUGCACAAUGGGCGCAAGCCUGAUGCAGCCAUGCCGCGUGUGUGAAGAAGGCCUUCGGGUUGUAAAGCACUUUCAGCGGGGAGGAAGGCGUUAAGGUUAAUAACCUUGGCGAUUGACGUUACCCGCAGAAGAAGCACCGGCUAACUCCGUGCCAGCAGCCGCGGUAAUACGGAGGGUGCAAGCGUUAAUCGGAAUUACUGGGCGUAAAGCGCACGCAGGCGGUCUGUCAAGUCGGAUGUGAAAUCCCCGGGCUCAACCUGGGAACUGCAUUCGAAACUGGCAGGCUAGAGUCUCGUAGAGGGGGGUAGAAUUCCAGGUGUAGCGGUGAAAUGCGUAGAGAUCUGGGGGAAUACCGGUGGCGAAGGCGGCCCCCUGGACGAAGACUGACGCUCAGGUGCGAAAGCGUGGGGAGCAAACAGG
rnacentral:rRNA from 1 species